rnacentral:rRNA from 1 species
UACGAAGGGGGCUAGCGUUGUUCGGAAUUACUGGGCGUAAAGCGCACGUAGGCGGAUUUGUAAGUCAGGGGUGAAAUCCCGGGGCUCAACCUCGGAACUGCCUUUGAUACUGCAAGUCUUGAGUCCGGAAGAGGUGAGUGGAAUUCCUAGUGUAGAGGUGAAAUUCGUAGAUAUUAGGAAGAACACCAGUGGCGAAGGCGACUUACUGGACACAUAUUGACGCUGAGGUGCGAAAGCGUGGGGAGCAAACAGG